ACGAACGCUGGCGGCGUGCUUAACACAUGCAAGUCGAGCGGUAAGGCCCUUCGGGGUACACGAGCGGCGAACGGGUGAGUAACACGUGGGUGACCUGCCCUUAGCUCUGGGAUAAGCCUGGGAAACUGGGUCUAAUACCGGAUAUGACCUCAUGACGCAUGUUGUGGGGUGGAAAGCCUUGUGCGGCUAGGGAUGGGCCCGCGGCCUAUCAGCUUGUUGGUGGGGUGAUGGCCUACCAAGGCGACGACGGGUAGCCGGCCUGAGAGGGCGACCGGCCACACUGGGACUGAGACACGGCCCAGACUCCUACGGGAGGCAGCAGUGGGGAAGUCUUGCGCAAUGGGCGAAAGCCUGACGCAGCGACGCCGCGUGAGGGAUGACGGCC
rnacentral:rRNA from 1 species